rnacentral:lncRNA from 1 species
UCAUUUUGAAGCAAAUCUUUUCAAAAUUUCUUAAAAAAUGGAAUAAUAGAUAUAUUUAAAAUAGAAUAGGGACACAUGGCAGACAUAAGACUUGUCAAUUAGUUACGCUGGAGCAAUACCAACAUCCAAUCAUGAGUUGACAUGUGACAGUCAACGAAGAAAGAAAGAAUGAGUUAUUUAAUAAGACAUUUUUGUCCUUUUUACAGCAUAAAUAGAUACAUUCUGCUUUUAACAUACAAUUCAUGAAACCAAAGAAAUAUUUUGACCAUUAUGCCCUACAGUUAAGUGUAGUAGUUCACAUGUACUCCAGUAUCCACCACCAUCACGACCUCGCCACUGUAUCCCCCACCGUCAAAUCUUCCACCUCCAUUGUAUCCAACACCACCGAUGUAUCCACCUCUGCAUUCACCUCCACCUUCACCACCACUGUAUCCACUUCCAUAUCCAUAACCACCACAACAUCUAGUCAAAUAACAAUCGCUACCUUCGUAACCCCCAUUC